GUAUUUUUAUUAUUUUCAAUCCAACAUUCUGACAACAUUCUGAAAUUGUAAAACAACAUAGACCCGGAAAAAUUGCAAGGAAAGCACACAGUGCAAUCCUCAAUCCAGGGUCUACAAUAUGUGCACAGUUGGGGAGAAAUAAAGACGACAAGCGUGCACUUGCCCCAGAGGGCCAGCAAAACAGCCUGUUCAAGCUUAUUCAAUAAUGAUCCUUCCGCAGGUUCACCUACGGAAA
rnacentral:misc_RNA from 1 species